rnacentral:rRNA from 1 species
UACAGAGGUCCCAAGCGUUGUUCGGAUUCACUGGGCGUAAAGGGUGCGUAGGUGGCCAGGUAAGUUCGGUGUGAAAGCUCGGAGCUUAACUCCGAAAUGUCAUUGAAUACUAUCUGGCUAGAGGGUCGGAGGGGAGACUGGAAUUCUCGGUGUAGCAGUGAAAUGCGUAGAUAUCGAGAGGAACACCAGUGGCGAAGGCGAGUCUCUGGACGACACCUGACACUGAGGCACGAAAGCGUGGGGAGCAAACAGG